rfam:Myotis brandtii contig321201, whole genome shotgun sequence.
CUCGGGGGGAAGGGGAAGUCCCUUAACCCGGAUUGCGAGAGGGUGCAGGCCAGGCUGAGGGACCCCACCGGUGCACA